AGCAGCCGCGGUAAUUCCAGCUCCAAUAGCGUAUAUUAAAGUUGUUGCAGUUAAAAAGCUCGUAGUUGAAUUUCGGGAUCAAUAUGUUGGUCGUGCCUUGGUACGUACUGGCAUUAUCGAUUCCUACCUUCUGAAGAACCUCGAUGUCAUUAAUUUGGUGUCUUGGGGAAUCAGGACUGUUACUUUGAAAAAAUUAGAGUGUUUAAAGCAGGCUCGCGCUUGAAUACAUUAGCAUGGAAUAAUGAAAUAGGACGUUUGAUUCUAUUUUGUUGGUUUCUAGGAUCGACGUAAUGAUUAAUAGGGAUAGUUGGGGGCAUUAGUAUUCAAUUGUCAGAGGUGAAAUUCUUGGAUUUAUUGAAGACUAACUACUGCGAAAGCAUUUGCCAAGGAUGUUUUCAUUAAUCAAGAACGAAAGUUAGGGGAUCGAAGACGAUCAGAUACCGUCGUAGUCUUAACCAUAAACUAUGCCGACUAGGGAUCGGAUGAUGUUAAUUUUUUAAAUGACUCAUUCGGCGCCUUA
rnacentral:misc_RNA from 1 species